GUUUGAUCCUGGCUCAGGACGAACGCUGGCGGCGUGCCUAACACAUGCAAGUCGAACGGAACUGUUUUGAAAGAUUUCUUCGGAAUGAAUUUGAUUUAGUUUAGUGGCGGACGGGUGAGUAACGCGUGAGUAACCUGCCUUCAAGAGGGGGAUAACAUUCUGAAAAGAAUGCUAAUACCGCAUGAUAUAUCGGAACCACAUGGUUCUGAUAUCAAAGAUUUUAUCGCUUGAAGAUGGACUCGCGUCCGAUUGGUUAGUUGGUGAGGUAACGGCUCACCAAGACCGCGAUCGGUAGCCGGACUGAGAGGUUGAACGGCCACAUUGGGACUGAGACACGGCCCAGACUCCUACGGGAGGCAGCAGUGGGGGAUAUUGCGCAAUGGGGGCAACCCUGACGCAGCAACGCCGCGUGAAGGAUGAAGGUUUUCGGAUUGUAAACUUCUUUUAUUAAGGACGAAAAAUGACGGUACUUAAUGAAUAAGCUCCGGCUAACUACGUGCCAGCAGCCGCGGUAAUACGUAGGGAGCAAGCGUUGUCCGGAUUUACUGGGUGUAAAGGGUGCGUAGGCGGCUUUGCAAGUCAGAUGUGAAAUCUAUGGGCUCAACCCAUAAACUGCAUUUGAAACUGUAGAGCUUGAGUGAAGUAGAGGCAGGCGGAAUUCCCCGUGUAGCGGUGAAAUGCGUAGAGAUGGGGAGGAACACCAGUGGCGAAGGCGGCCUGCUGGGCUUUAACUGACGCUGAGGCACGAAAGCGUGGGUAGCAAACAGGAUUAGAUACCCUGGUAGUCCACGCUGUAAACGAUGAUUACUAGGUGUGGGGGGUCUGACCCCUUCCGUGCCGGAGUUAACACAAUAAGUAAUCCACCUGGGGAGUACGGCCGCAAGGUUGAAACUCAAAGGA
rnacentral:rRNA from 1 species